GACAGAGGGUGCAAACGUUGUCCGGAUUUAUUGGGCGUAAAGAGCGUGUAGGCGGCCAGACAGGUCCGUUGUGAAAACUCGAGGCUCAACCUCGAGACGCCGAUGGAAACCGUCUGGCUAGAGUCCGGAAGAGGAGAGUGGAAUUCCUGGUGUAGCGGUGAAAUGCGCAGAUAUCAGGAAGAACACCCGUGGCUAAGGCGGGUCUCUGGGCCGAUACUGACGCUGAGGAGCGAAAGCGUGGGGAGCGAACAGG
rnacentral:rRNA from 1 species